rnacentral:rRNA from 1 species
UGGGGAAUAUUGCGCAAUGGGGGAAACCCUGACGCAGCGACGCCGCGUGCGGGAUGAAGGCCUUCGGGUUGUAAACCGCUUUUGAUUGGGAGCAAGCCUUUUGGGUGAGUGUACCUUUCGAAUAAGCGCCGGCUAACUACGUGCCAGCAGCCGCGGUAAUACGUAUGGGGCGAGCGUUGUCCGGAAUUAUUGGGCGUAAAGGGUACGUAGGCGGUCUAUUAAGUCAGGUGUGAAAGCGUGAGGCUUAACCUCAUUAAGCACUUGAAACUGAUAGGCUUGAGUGAAGGGGAGGAAAGUGGAAUUCCUAGUGUAGCGGUGAAAUGCGUAGAUAUUAGGAGGAAUACCGGUGGCGAAGGCGACUUUCUGGACUUUUACUGACGCUCAGGUACGAAAGCGUGGGGAGCAAACAGG